GGCUGGGUGGCGGAGUGGUUACGCAAGGGUCUGCAAAACCCUGUACACGGGUUCAAUUCCCGUCCCAGCCU
rnacentral:tRNA from 1 species